AAAUUUUUUUUGAUCAAAUCUAGCACCUCGCCUUAGAUUUGAUCAAAGGAAGUGUUCAUCUUACGUUUGCCGCAUAGAGAAAUCAACCACUUGGAGUGCUAGCUUCGCUGCAACUGUCUGAUAUACAAUGUUUAUCAAUAUGACUCCCAAAUUUACAUGGUGUGUUGCAUAUAACGAAAUUGAUCGAAAUAUUCGAGGCAGAUGAAGCCAUGAAGUAUGACCAGGAUAUACACCUGAGAAUAUAAAGGAGAAAAUUUACAACUUCUGUGGAAAUAAAAAUUUGUCAUGAUUGCAGUAUAUAUUAAAUUUAUUUGCCUUCACAUAUUCCUCCUUCAGUGCAUUAUAAAUAGCUUCAAUCGUUUAUGGUAUUAUUUCCAUCAAUGUGCACUGCAGCAUUACAGCACUAUACUGGUACUGUAAACUAGAGUAGCUAGAAAUGUCAGUAUUGUGGUAAGUCUGUCUUUUCCGAGGAGAGUGUUCAGCUUCAUAAUAUAAGGAGCCACGUUCUUGAGCACAUAUUGAAAUGUACUCUCGUCCAUUCCCAAAGGGAUUUUCUUGCGACUUUGUCUUUGAUUUGCAGCUCCCAUAGCAAAUUUUGCUGUACAUCUUUUGCGUCUCGCUAUGAAGUCCACGGCUUCACCCAAGUAUGUUUCCUUUUCUUCUGCUUGUCUUGUAAAUGCAAUGACAAUGCAAUUGCAGUGUACGCACCUGCAGACCAGGUAUAAUUUUACUUACUGCAUCAGUGGCAUAGUGUGUUGAUGUUAUCAAUGAGUAUUCAUAGCUGGGAAUCCAUUUCACCACGAAGUAAAUGAUUAAAUCUGUUCUUGCUCUGUGGUUGACAGAUUCUUGUAUGUACUCUUGCCCACUAAGUAAGUAAGUUAGUUAUACCAGUAAAAUGAACAUUUCAUAACAAAACAUUUGCAUUUUAUGAAGAUGGUGUUGCCAACAUCUGCACACUGCACCGAUGAUGCCGUAAGUAGAAUUGAACUGCAGAGAAUAGUAUUAAGUCAUCGGCCAUCAUGAAGGAACUUUGACAAAAUGUUUGAUGACAGUGUUAUAUACCCUCUUUGCGCCACAUCAAAGAUCAUUAUCAAAGAAAAUUUAAUAGUAUAAUACUGGCCUAAGGUCCACCUGUUAACACAGCACCGCGGUUGUCAACUAGAAAAUCACUUUGCUGUGAGCAUCCGAAUCUAACAAACACUUAAUUUUUAAUGUGACAGACUUGGGAUUGUUUUAUAGAUUGGCAAAUAUGCAACAACAGUAUAAACUACAAUAAUAGUCAUUACAAAAACCAGAUGCUAUACAGAGACUGCACAGAACUGGAAAGUACAGUAUAACAUAUUAAGCUUACCAUUGCGCCAGCAGUGAUAGCCAUAUGAAAGAUUGGUUGUAGAUGUAGCACUCAUUUGUUUUCCUGAAAUAACAUGGCAUCUGCUGAACUAGGUCACAACUGGGCAAGAAUUGAUGCGCAUCACUCGGGAAUCCCGAAACACAUCACACCUCAUACUGUAAAUGCUAUAGUACCGUAUUACUACAUUUCUAAUUAUUUGAGAACUGGUAACAUGAGUGGAAGAAAAAAGAAAAGUACUACUAUCAUUGAAAAGCUAUGAAUUUUAAGUGUUGUGAAGGAAAACAAUAAUCUAAAGUGAGUUGAUAUUGCCAAGGAAUUAGGAAUUUCUGCGUCUACUUUAAAUUCUAUAACAGCAAAGGCAAAAGAAAUUGAAGAUAGUUUACCAGUGUUCGGAAUUUCUACUAGUAAGAGGACAUGCAUUCAGGGUGGGAAAUAUGAAGACGUGGAAGAUCGUUUGUUGCAGUAGUUCAGGCAAUGUAGAGCAGAAGGCAUUCCUAUUAGUGGCCCAAUGCUUUGUGAAAAAGCAAACGAAUUUGCAGUUCGACUCUGUGUGGAGAAUUUCAGUGGUUCAUCUGAUUGGUUGCAAAAAAUUUAAGGUAAGACAUGGCAUCAGCUGUCAGAAUGCGUGUGGCGAAAGCAAAAGUGUCGAUCCUGAGACAGUGCGAGAUUGGAAGGAAACCCGUUGGAAAGAACUGACAUCCCAAUAUGCUCCUACAAACAUUUUCAAUGCAGAUGAAGCAGGCUUGUUUUACAAGGACACUGGCAUUCAAAGGCGAGAACUGCAACAGAGGAAAACAAAGUAAACAAUGUGUGACAGUGCUGUUGUGUGCUAUUAGUGAUGGGAGUGAGGAGCUCCACUCACUUAUAUCAGGAAAUUGGCCAAGCCCCAUUGUUUUUAGAACAUUGUCACUUUUUCCACAAAAUAAACUAGUAACAAGAAAUCAUGGAUUACAACAAAAGUUUUCGAAAGCUGGCUUUGAAGUGUUGAUUUGAAAAUAGGUGCAGGAGGCCGGAAGAUUUUAUUGUUCAUAGACAGGUGUGCAGCACAUCCUCCCCUUAAUUCCUAUUUGAGAAAUGUGACCAUGGAAUUCUUUCCAGCGAAUUGCACGAGUGAGCUCCAGCCACUUGACUUUGAAGUUGCUCUAUUGAAAAAUGCUCAUGCAGCAGGAUAUCAGGUGUGUAAACAUUGAAAAAAGGAAGAAAUGAAAUUAAACAUUUUACAGGUAAGAUUUUUACUUGCCAUUUAUUUCAUGUCGUGCUACCGGAGCCAAAGAGCACUUCGAUAAAUUAUUACUGAAUUUGUUUCUUUUGAUAGGCAAUGCACUACAUUGCAGCUUCAUGGCACAGAGUUUCAGACAAUACCAUUUUGAACUGUUUCUGAAAAGCCGGAUUUGGAAAUGAAGUCCCCGAUCAUGGUGGAAAUGAUCACAUUGGCGGUAUUUCACUUAAUGAUGAAGAAUGGAGUUGACUUGAAGAGCAGGCAUCAUUUGAGAAUUAUGUGAAUGUCGAUGAAAACCUUGUACUACAGAACCUGUGACUAUCGCUGAGAUAGGUCAGUGUGCAUCGCGGGACCUGGAAGAGGAAGAAACUGACGAUGGGGAUGAUACACAAGAGCCUCAGCAUUCCUCCAUGAUGUUUAACGAUGCAGUAAAUGGGUUAGAAAUAAUUGAUGCGCCACAAUGUUUCUGAUGAAAUAAUGACAGAGCUAUCCCGUUUUGAGGGCACAGUCUACGCUAUUGCUGCGUCAAAAAUUGUGGGCUUUUUUACGAAAUGUUUUUUCUGUGUAGAGGUUUACAUUUCUCUUUAUGUCUUCGUUAUGUAUGGUACCUAGUAAGUCUCUAUAACAUUUUGUAGAAUGUAACUUUUUAUUUUGAAGAGUCCAGAGGAAAAACCUGAAAAGUCCAAAAUUCCAAAGUUUCUGGGUCUUUUUCUUUUUUCAUAAUUUAAUAGACCAGCCAGUAUAAUUUUAGCUGGUUUUACAGAACUGGUCAAAAACCUGAUGAGUCAAGAGAUAUUCUGAUAUCUUGUAAAUGGUCGAAUAUCCUGACAAGUCCAGAGAAUGCAACGAUAAAGUUUUAUGACUUAAUGAUUCCCAGCCCACGCAGGUCUGUUUUCACUAAUGUUAUCAUUGUUUUAUCAUUGUUGCCACAGUCAUUGUUGUGUACAAGUUGACCAUUGUUAGCUUUGUUGAGUUUGUGAAGGAAGUUAGAUCUAGCAUUGUAUUCUGUCAGUGUAAAAUGAAUAAAGAAGACAGUGACUCAUCUACUUGCGAAGAAAACUAUAGAAUGUCCUCAAAGAAGCCGACAAAGAAAAGGAAGAAGUAUGGUUGCAUUAGAGAUGCCUCCAAACGUUUUAAGAUUUCCAUCACAUGAAACAGGAGAACCAUGUAAGUUCAAAAACAAUUGUCUUGGUAUUGUCAGUGACGAAAAUAUUAUUAACAUGAACCACUUUCAAAAUCAUGAUGAAAUAAACCUCUGUUAAAAUGGUUUAAUCGCGGUGGUUCCUGUACAGCACAGGCAUCCUAGAAGAGAAGAGCAGGAAGCAAAGUUUCGUGAUGCAUCAUAUAAAUUCAGUGUUUGUAUUACCAUUAAUGGAAGUUUUCAAGAAGAACAUGUGUGCAAGCAAGCAUUUAUGUCAUUACAUGGAAUAAAGAAGGGCAAGGUAGAUUAUUUACUGAAGAAACUUAAAUCUGGAGACCAACCUCUACAAGACGGCCGAGGGAAACGCAGAUCCAGCCCACAGGCUUUGAAAGGUGAAACACGUGCAAUAAUAAGAGCACACAUUAAAUCAUUUAAAGGCCCCAUAGCCACUAGUUUGACGAAGUCAGAAAAAAUUUACCUACCACAGUCUUUGAAUAUUAAAAAAAUGUUCCGUUCAAGGAGAAGUUUUAGGAUCAGAACGUGCCGUAUGGAACAUAACACACUAUAUUCAAUUCAGAUUUCAAUAUAAGUUUUGGAUAUCCGUGAUCUGAUACUUGUGGCUCUUGUGAUGAGUAUCUAGCCAAGAAGAAAUAUUUGGAGAAGGAACUGAUUUUAAGAUCAUCUGGUGAAAAUAAAGUAAGGCUUCAUUCCGAACUUCAACCAAUGAAAUAGUCCAUGAAUUGCAUCUCAGAAAACAAAGUGUUCUGUCACAGGAAAGAAAAGCAAAGAUGGAAUGUCAAAAAAAAUCCAUCAAAGGUUCUAAUUAUGAUGGACUAUAGCAAAAACUUUACUUGUCCAAAUAUAAAGACAAAUGAAGUUUAUUGUAAGUGACAGCUUUCUGUAUUUAUAUUCAAUUUUCAUGUUUUGGCAACGGGGGACAGCUAUUUUUACAUGUAUCCAGAGAGCACAGGCCGAAAAGGAGCAGACGAAGUUUCAUCAUUCCUUCAUCAUUUUGUGCACAAUUUUAUAAAUUCAGAAGUCAGACAUCUGGAGAUCUUCUGUGACUCCUGCGGAGGGCGAAACAAGAAUGUCACUGUGUUCAGAUUCCUUCACUAUCUGGUCCAUAUAGAAAAGCGAUUGGACUAUGUUAUGAUGUCAUUCCCCAUAAGAGGUCAUUCGUACCUCAAAUGUGACAAAAAUAUUGGUAUGAUAGACCAAACUCAGGAAUGUCAAAUUCCAAAGGACUGGUGUUAGGUUUUUCAGAAUUUACACACACACACACUUCGCCUUUUGUUAUCAUUGAUGUUGAGGAGCAACCAGAGAUAAUCAAAUCAUGGACAGAGCAUCUGGAUAAUACAAUGUACAAGAAGAAACUUCCUUUCCAAUCCAGGCCAAUAAGAGAAUUGGAAGUCGCACAACACCAUGCAGCACUGGUUCGGUAUAGAGGAAGCUACAGUGAAGCAUAUGAGCAAGCUUCAUUACUUCUUCAUGGAAAGAAAGGGCAAGAUUCCAGCCUGAAAGAAGGAGAGUUCAGCCUACCCUCUGCUAAAUAUGAAGGUGAUCUUAAAAUAUCUGCUGAGAAAUACAGAGAUUUACAAGACUUGAAAAGAUUUUGCCGUGCUGAAGUGCAAGUGUAUUUUGAUUGUCUUUCGCAUUAAUCCACCAUCGAAAAAGCACAUGAUCUUUUAUAGAUUAUUAAAUGAUUAUAUAAGAUAAUUUGUUGUAACAUGAAUUUAAAAUCUUGUAGUUACCUGCAAUAUGUUAUGGACUUGUCAUAUUUUUCCUCUGUAUUACCUGCCUUCGUAAUAAAAGUGCAUCAUAUUAUUGUAAAUCCUAUUCAGAUGUGUAUAAUUUCAGCAGUACUCUUUCUCUGAAAGAUAUAUUAAGAUCUAAAACAAAAAUGAAGAAUAUAACUUGAAAAGCUAAAAUUUUAUGACUCUUGAAACUUUAAAUUUAGUCUCCUGAAAAAAAAAAAAGAAUUGUGACUUAUCAGGUUUUUCCCCUGGACUCUUCAUUUGUGUUUACCAAUUCAUUUUAUAGUAUGGUGCUGUAUUUCAUUUAUACGUUCUUCACACUUACAAGUUUUUUUUUUCUGUAGUCUGUUCAAAAAUGUAUAAACGAAGUUUUACUGUAAAGAUGUGUCUUAUAAUGCCUACAACAGUGUUAUUUUUAACAUAUUUGUAUGACAAAACAUGAAAUGAAAUCUUAUGCUUGAAAAUGGCACACAUUCUAAAAUUGUGACAGUGAAAUAGAAACAGUAAUAGCUAAAAGUGAUAUGUCAUUUAAAGUAUUGUAGUGAAGUGCAUAGGAAAACUACCAACUAAUCUGUGAUGGAAUUCCCAAGUAGUAGCAGUGUGCCACAAUAUCUCAUUGUUAGCAAAUGCCUUAGGCAGUAUUGGAUGCAAAUAGUAUCUAGAUUGCAAGAUUCUGGAAUGUACAGACAGUCCACAUUAUAUGCCUUGAAACUCUUUGACUGUUUCUGUAUAUGUACCUCUGUAUGCAAAGAAACGUCUAUGUAAAUAAGCUAUUACUGGUCUCUGAUACCGAAUUUACAGGAAAAAGAAAGUAAAGCUUUGUAUUAUUGUGCAGGAUUUCAGUAAGGAAAAGACAGUAUAGAAGAGAUUUUCUUUGUGUGUGUGUGUGUGUGUGUGUGUGUGUGUGUGUGUGUGUAAUGACUUCAUUAUUUCCGUUACACGUACACUUUCCUUUGCUCUUCAGGGAGCAAACAAAGAUAAUAUUAAAAACUGUAAAAUGUGUAUGGAGGGACAGUGAUUAAGCCAGGAACCCUAGAAUUGUAUCUAUUUAAAUGACACAAAAACUCUUUAAGAAAAUAUCAUCUGCGUUUUAGGUGUAAAUUUUUUCUUAUUGUACCAGUGAAUGAUACUGUCAGCUGUUAUUGAUUUUUUGUGUGUGUCCGUAUUUACAGUGCAUCACUUUCUGAUGCACAUGUAGUAUUAGACAAAAAUGCUAGUAAAAUACCCUUUCAUGAUGGCAGUCAGCAUAAAAAAGCAGAAAGGAAGAUACAACUCAUGUUACACAUUGUCUACAAAUCUGUAAUGCUACAUGCUUGCAACGGCUGACUGGUUAUCUGGCAAUCUGUAGGAAGUCUUUCUAUAACACGUAACAUACAGUGUAUUUUUUCUCAGAAUCUCAGGUGCCUAUUUCUGAGUGAGAGAAAUCAGAAGAAUUAGGUGUGCUUUCACUUUGUGUCUCACCACUGCCAACCAUAGUGAUCAGACCGUGCUUGUGCAAUAGCAUUGUGUUAGCCAGUUUUGGGUGCUGCAUGUUCUUAACACUGUUGCUGUGUUCAAUCUUUUUAUGUUAGAGUGAGCAAUGAGGCUGUUCCUUAUCUAUAGUGUACUCUACCCGCAAGAAAGAUUAGUACCCUCUGUGGGGUAGAUGUUAUGUACAAAACAUAAAUUAUAGGUAUAGUGGCUGUGUGAGUGAGGAAGUCAGAGCUUGCUUCCUCCACACCAUGCAGUUCUUUGCAUAAUAUGUUAUCAUGCUGCACAUAUCCAAUACAGAGUGGCAGUCUCAGUGUCACAGGUUGUGUUGUAUUGCAAGGAUACCUCAGAAUAUCAUUAUAUGUAAUGAGGUCAUUGGUUUCAAUGUAAUGUGAAGUUCCCACAUUUUUCUGGUGGUAUUGAACUAAUACACUUCCUGUCAAAAGCAAUUUGAAGAUUAGUUUCAUAAGCUCAAUUCUGUUUGUUGGUAAUUAUGUUUAACACACUAUUAACAAACAGUACAUUGAUUUUAUUAUGAAUACUUAAGUAAAAUUUUACAAACAAAAAUACACUCACUCACACAUACAAUUUGGAGAACAAUCUCUGUUGGUAGUUCUAGGGAACUCACAGACAUUCAAGGAAAUGCGAUUGCCACAUAACUUGUUUAGUGGCUGUGCAGGAAAUGUCUUGAAGCACUGCAUAUACACACAUAAAAUUUACACAUUUAAUCCUUGAUUGUAAAAUACACUUCAUAUAGUUUCUUCUUUUCACUUGAAUUGCUUGGACCUUGUGAUGUGCCUUUUUAUUAUAUCAAUCAUUGAAAUUUGUAGAGGUUGCUGUUUUUCAUUUUGAACACGUUUGUACACAGCACCUUACUUAUCUCAUUCUGCAGCAAACUAUGCUUCUGCAAGCCAUAAAUGUAUGAACCAGAGUUAACAGUAAAAAAGAUAAACUUAAUGCUUUGUUCAAACUAAACUGUACCUGCAUUUAUACCCUGAGGAUUGUAUAAGGAUACAUGUGCCUAAAUAUCAUCACACCACACACUGUAUGUGAUUUGAGUAGAGAUUGUAGAAAUAUGACAUACAAAAGUCAUAUUAUUUUAUGAUUGUGGAACUUUUCUCCCUUUGCUUCUAUAAAAUAACGUGAAGCUAAAUUUCUCAUACAAGUCUUCAUUUUCUUUCUUGCAAUGCAUAUUUUUGCAGAAAUGCAGCUCUGGAUAAAGAUGUGUGAAAGGUCUAUGUAAAAUGCCUAAGUUCACACAGUCAUGACACUGCAUAGUCACUAUUUAACUUCUCCACUUAGUGCUUAAGUUGUUGGACAGUUACACAAUGUUCUUUUGGUAGGACACUGUUUCACUUUAGGUAGCUACAUUUGAACUUUUUAUGUUCCUGUAGCUGAGUUAAAGCUUUUUGAAGUGGAAUGUCUAGAGCUUCCUUCCACUUCACUGGUUGCAAUCAAACUUAUGCCACAGGGUGCACUUUCUGAGUCUCUGUAGUGUCAAUUUUGGAUUAGUGAAUUUCUCAUUCGCUUUUGGGAACUAUGCAUGUCGCAGGUGACAGUGGCAGUUUACAUAUUAGCGGCCUUUUCCACAUUCUUGCACUAACUGAAUUAUGCCCAAAACUAGAAUUUCGCUUGGUCUGUCUUCUUUGAAAGAA